GACUCGGCGGAUUCCUUAGAGCGAUAUGCUAUGUAGCCAACAGCAUCACGGUUAAUGCGGAUGCGGGAGAUUGGGCCAUAGAUCUCAAACCUCGACUUCAAAUCGAGCACCGAGCAAUUUGGAGGAAGACCCAUGACAACCACAGCCGGUGGCGGCGUAGGCUUGUCCUCAUCCUCAGGUGGCGGCAGUGGAUAAGGUGGCAGAGGACGACGCCUUUUAGAGAUGGAAGCGGGGCCAAGGCGGGAGAAGUAGGGUUUGUCUCUCUUUCGACUCAUG
rnacentral:lncRNA from 1 species